GACGAACGCUGGCGGCGUGCUUAACACAUGCAAGUCGAACGGAAAGGCCCUGCUUUUGUGGGGUGCUCGAGUGGCGAACGGGUGAGUAACACGUGAGUAACCUGCCCUUGACUUUGGGAUAACUUCAGGAAACUGGGGCUAAUACCGGAUAGGAGCUCCUGCUGCAUGGUGGGGGUUGGAAAGUUUCGGCGGUUGGGGAUGGACUCGCGGCUUAUCAGCUUGUUGGUGGGGUAGUGGCUUACCAAGGCUUUGACGGGUAGCCGGCCUGAGAGGGUGACCGGCCACAUUGGGACUGAGAUACGGCCCAGACUCCUACGGGAGGCAGCAGUGGGGAAUAUUGCACAAUGGGCGGAAGCCUGAUGCAGCAACGCCGCGUGCGGGAUGACGGCCUUCGGGUUGUAAACCGCUUUCGCCUGUGACGAAGCGUGAGUGACGGUAAUGGGUAAAGAAGCACCGGCUAACUACGUGCCAGCAGCCGCGGUGAUACGUAGGGUGCGAGCGUUGUCCGGAUUUAUUGGGCGUAAAGGGCUCGUAGGUGGUUGAUCGCGUCGGAAGUGUAAUCUUGGGGCUUAACCCUGAGCGUGCUUUCGAUACGGGUUGACUUGAGGAAGGUAGGGGAGAAUGGAAUUCCUGGUGGAGCGGUGGAAUGCGCAGAUAUCAGGAGGAACACCAGUGGCGAAGGCGGUUCUCUGGGCCUUUCCUGACGCUGAGGAGCGAAAGCGUGGGGAGCGAACAGGCUUAGAUACCCUGGUAGUCCACGCUGUAAACGGUGGGUACUAGGUGUGGGGUCCAUUCCACGGGCUCCGUGCCGUAGCUAACGCUUUAAGUACCCCGCCUGGGGAGUACGGCCGCAAGGCUAAAACUCAAAGGAAUUGACGGGGCCCCGCACAAGCGGCGGAGCAUGCGGAUUAAUUCGAUGCAACGCGUAGAACCUUACCCGGGUUUGACAUGGAUCGGGAGCGCUCAGAGAUGGGUGUGCCUCUUUCGGGGUCGGUUCACAGGUGGUGCAUGGCUGUCGUCAGCUCGUGUCGUGAGAUGUUGGGUUAAGUCCCGCAACGAGCGCAACCCUUGUUCACUGUUGCCAGCACGUUAUGGUGGGGACUCAGUGGAGACCGCCGGGGUCAACUCGGAGGAAGGUGGGGAUGACGUCAAGUCAUCAUGCCCCUUAUGUCCAGGGCUUCACGCAUGCUACAAUGGCUGGUACAGAGAGUGGCGAGCCUGUGAGGGUGAGCGAAUCUCGGAAAGCCGGUCUCAGUUCGGAUUGGGGUCUGCAACUCGACCUCAUGAAGUCGGAGUCGCUAGUAAUCGCAGAUCAGCAACGCUGCGGUGAAUACGUCCCCGGG
rnacentral:rRNA from 1 species